rnacentral:rRNA from 1 species
AUUGAACGCUGGCGGCAGGCCUAACACAUGCAAGUCGAGCGGAUGAAGGGAGCUUGCUCCUGGAUUCAGCGGCGGACGGGUGAGUAAUGCCUAGGAAUCUGCCUGGUAGUGGGGGAUAACGUCUGGAAACGGGCGCUAAUACCGCAUACGUCCUGAGGGAGAAAGUGGGGGAUCUUCGGACCUCACGCUAUCAGAUGAGCCUAGGUCGGAUUAGCUAGUUGGUGGGGUAAAGGCCUACCAAGGCGACGAUCCGUAACUGGUCUGAGAGGAUGAUCAGUCACACUGGAACUGAAACACGGUCCAGACUCCUAAGGGAGGCAGCAGUGGGGAAUAUUGGACAAUGGGCGAAAGCCUGAUCCAGCCAUGCCGCGUGUGUGAAGAAGGUCUUCGGAUUGUAAAGCACUUUAAGUUGGGAGGAAGGGCAGUAAGUUAAUACCUUGCUGUUUUGACGUUACCAACAGAAUAAGCACCGGCUAACUUCGUG